GGGGGAAUAUUGCACAAUGGGGGGAAACCCUGAUGCAGCAACGCCGCGUGAGUGAAGAAGUAUUUCGGUAUGUAAAGCUCUAUCAGCAGGGAAGAAAAUGACGGUACCUGACUAAGAAGCCCCGGCUAACUACGUGCCAGCAGCCGCGGUAAUACGUAGGGGGCAAGCGUUAUCCGGAUUUACUGGGUGUAAAGGGAGCGCAGGCGGUCUGGCAAGUCUGAUGUGAAAUCCCGGGGCUCAACCCUGGAACUGCAUUGGAAACUGUCAGACUAGAGUGCCGGAGAGGUAAGUGGAAUUCCUAGUGUAGCGGUGAAAUGCGUAGAUAUUA
rnacentral:rRNA from 1 species